UGGAUCCAGACUUUGAUUAUGGCUCAGGACGAACGCUGGCGGCGCGCCUAACACAUGCAAGUCGAACGAGAGAGAGGGAGCUUGCUUCCUCGAUCGAGUGGCGAACGGGUGAGUAACGCGUGAGGAACCUGCCUCAAAGAGGGGGACAACAGUUGGAAACGACUGCUAAUACCGCAUAAGCCCACAGUUCGGCAUCGAGCAGAGGGAAAAGGAGCAAUCCGCUUUGAGAUGGCCUCGCGUCCGAUUAGCUAGUUGGUGAGGUAACGGCCCACCAAGGCGACGAUCGGUAGCCGGACUGAGAGGUUGAACGGCCACAUUGGGACUGAGACACGGCCCAGACUCCUACGGGAGGCAGCAGUGGGGAAUAUUGCACAAUGGGGGAAACCCUGAUGCAGCGACGCCGCGUGGAGGAAGAAGGUCUUCGGAUUGUAAACUCCUGUUGUUGAGGAAGAUAAUGACGGUAC
rnacentral:rRNA from 1 species